UACGUAGGGUGCAAGCGUUGUCCGGAAUUAUUGGGCGUAAAGAGCUUGUAGGCGGUUUGUCGCGUCUGCUGUGAAAUUUCGGGGCUCAACCCCGAACUUGCAGUGGGUACGGGCAGACUAGAGUGUGGUAGGGGAGACUGGAAUUCCUGGUGUAGCGGUGAAAUGCGCAGAUAUCAGGAGGAACACCGAUGGCGAAGGCGGUCUCUGGGCCACUACUGACGUGAGAAGCGAAAAGCAUGGGGGAGCAAACAGG
rnacentral:rRNA from 1 species